UAUAAACCUCAAGCAGAGCAAGCUAGAGAGACAGCAGCGAGGGAGACUCCCAAUGAUUAUGGAGCAGCUGCGGCAGCCUCCUUGGGAAGAAUACACCAUGCUGCAGACUGAGAGAACCUGUAGAGUAUGCUGAAAUGUGUGCACAGGAACCCCUGGCUGCAUUGCAUCAGUCCUGAAAGCUCUCUUCUGUUCAGGAGCUCAGCAUUCAAGGCAUCACUAGGCAAACCUGGAGGGGCAGCAGUCCAUUGGAGUCAUCUCUGGGAUCACCCCUGCACUCCGAAGAGGAUCCCCGCCAACUUAAUCGGGACGGCUCUGCAGCUGCAUGCAGGGGACGGGCACAAGUUGGCAGCUGGAAUGUGCCAUCAGGGUCACCAGCAUGCCUUGGCUUGGAUCCUGUGGAUGUGCUGGCUCCACCAGUGCAGGAUGCAGGAUUGGACCCAGCUGCUGAACCAGAUCAUCAUGGUGGCCGAGGAGUGCCUGGCAGAAUUGCCCAUGAGGAGGGAAGGGACUAGGCAGACCAGGGAUUCUGGGCUAGGCUUGUGGCCCUGGAGGAGAGACACGUGGAGGCCCUAGAGUGGCAGGCUUUCCUGGUGGCCAGGGCAGUGGAGGCCAUGGGAGAGGACUGCCAGGUGCUGGACACUGUCUUAACCUUGGUAGUUGCCUUCAUGCCACCCACUCAGCCCUAGCCCUACCUGCCUCCUGGCAGCCAUCCACCACCCAGCAGCAGCCUACCCCCCACCCUGAGCUGAGGGGCAGUGGAGCUUCUACCAGCCAGGAGAUUCUGCCCUAGCUCCUUCCCCAGGUCCCCCACCACUCAGCUCACCUUCCUGGGCCCAGCCCCACCUCUUGCCCUGGCUCCACAUAGACACAGAGCAGCAGCUGCCUGCAGCAGAGCCAGGACCACAAAAGGGCCCUGCUGCCCCAAACCACUGGCUGCAGGAGGGGGACUGACUGCCUUGCUGCAGCACGUGCACCCAUGGGGGACCGGCCAGAGGCUGGGGUGCUGGCCACCUGUCUCUGGGCUCCUCCCCCUAGGCACCCCCAUGCCACAGCGCCCCACCCUGAGUGGGAACAUACAUAUUUCUGUACAUACUCUGCAUGAGGAAGAGGGUAUUUUAUUGAUGUUGGAUAGGGACAGUG